rnacentral:rRNA from 1 species
AUUGAACGCUGGCGGCAGGCCUAACACAUGCAAGUCGAGCGGUUGAGGUAGCUUGCUACCGAAGCAGCGGCGAACGGGUGAGUAAUACAUGGGAAUCUGCCUGGUAGUGGGGGACAACGUUUCGAAAGGAACGCUAAUACCGCAUACGCCCUACGGGGGAAAGGGGGGGAUCUUCAGACCUCUCGCUAUCAGAUGAGCCCAUGUCAGAUUAGCUAGUUGGUGGGGUAAAGGCUCACCAAGGCGACGAUCUGUAACUGGUCUGAGAGGAUGAUCAGUCACACUGGAACUGAGACACGGUCCAGACUCCUACGGGAGGCAGCAGUGGGGAAUAUUGGACAAUGGGCGCAAGCCUGAUCCAGCCAGGCCGCGUGUGUGAAGAAGGCCUUAGGGUUGUAAAGCACUUUCGGUGGGGAGAAAGGUGAUUCACUUAAUACGUGAGUUAAUUGAUGUUACCCACAGAAGAAGCACCGGCUAACUCCGUGCCAGCAGCCGCCGUAACAC